CAGUCGCCGCGGUAAUACGAGGGGGGCUAGCGUUGCUCGGAAUUACUGGGCGUAAAGGGAGCGUAGGCGGGUCGUUUAGUCAGAGGUGAAAUCCCGGGGCUCAACCUCGGAACUGCCUUUGAUACUGGCGACCUUGAGUAUGGGAGAGGUGAGUGGAACUCCGAGUGUAGAGGUGAAAUUCGUAGAUAUUCGGAGGAACACCAGUGGCGAAGGCGACUCACUGGCCCAUUACUGACGCUGAGGCUCGAAAGCGUGGGGAGCAAACAGGAUUAGAUACCCCAGUAGUCCCUGUCUCUUAUAC
rnacentral:rRNA from 1 species